AGUUGAUGGCAAUACAUGCCUUGAAGUCUCAUAUGAUGCGUUCAUCACUAUUUAUAUUGUAAGGAACAGUAGCAAACUACCGAGACAUAUAUGAGGAUAGGUUCAAAUACAGUGUAUGGAUCAUAGGCUAAUGUGUGGCAUAUUUUAUGCGGCAAAAAUGAAAGACAAUUUCACGACAAAAAAGAUAUAUAUAUAUAUAUUAUCUGGGUGUUUCUAUUUGACCGAAGUUUUCGUGUACAUUAUUUCGUGCGUUAUCUGUUAAUAGAUUGAUGAUAAAAGAGUUAAACAACAACUUGCAAUAUAUGUGAGGGUGAUAUCCACGUGAAGAAUACACAUGUUUAGCUAAGCCUCGUAGGGAAAGCUCUACUUCAAAAAGACAAGGUCCAGGAGGAGAUUAUAACGGCUACAAAAAACGCAAUAUCGGUGAAGGAAGGUGCUACCGCGAUCAUCAAGUCUGAAUCUGAUCUCAGUCAAGCUGUUUCGAACUGUUUAAGGUCGUGCAAGUAACGACUACCGAAGCAGGCUUAUUCUACGGAAACCUGUUUUUAACAAACAUGUUCAAGUUAUCCUGCGGUUGCUCCUGAUUGGAGCAAGCGAUUACAGGUUCUGCACGAAUGUCUCGGGACCAAGCUACGGCGAAGCUGUUUGUGCUACUACAUACAUUGUUCCGGGCAUGGGACGCCAACAAGAUGAACGACUUGCUCCUCAUCUUUGCCAUCAUAUUUAUAACUUUUGACGCUUCAAAAUGCCGCAACUUAAAAACGUCGCUCCGCUUCUUUGGCAGCUCUGAAACUCUACGAAGAACUUAAUUUAGUCCUAAACUGAUCACCGACCCUAUUUACUCCCAUUCGCUGCUACUGCUAUCGGAACGGACUAUUGCGAUACAAAAAUGUGUGCUUCGCUUGGCAUUUCCCUUACGUAACAACCUACCAGUUAGGGCAAGGACUUAACGGUCAGUAAACAGGUUGCCAGUUCAAACAUCCUUUGCUUUAGACCGCGUCACUAACGUUGCCCUUGCUGUCAUUUUAUUCGCCUUUAUGUAUCGCAAGUCGCUGGCGGUUUUCAUUGAAAAUAUCGGUAUAUGCGCCGUUACUCAUACACACUAUGGUCGUAUUUGCCGUCAGAGCUGCGUCGAGGGCUUUUGUGGAUCAACGACUGACGGUGCGAUUAUUGCCGCCCGCAUGUGUAACUAUUGCAGCAUUGCGACCAUCAUCAAUAGAAAAAAAAGGUACAAUGCCUCUUUCCUCGUACAGCUUUCAUCGUUAUUGUGCGCCGUUGAGAGGGACGAUAUCGUGCACUACUAUGGGCGGUUUAUGAACGGUCGAUGAUCAGCCGGUCGACUGAGGCAACGACAUCCGUAGAAAGAGUUGCAGGAAAGUCAUAUGUUUAAAACGGAAUGAUCGCUGUGAAAUAUUGAUUUGACUUUCCGGAGCCUUCAUAUCAUAUUGGCCGUGGAGAAACCUGAAGGUAUUCCAAAAUUUCGAUCCACAAAAACGGUGUGAUCGAAGCAGUGAAAAUUUGUCUUCUCCCUGAUGCUGCUUUCUCUGCUCUUAUAUAAACUGCCGGUGCACCCGUCUAUCGCUCGUGGGUUGGCAUCUAAUAACAGCAGCAGCGGCAACGAAACGCGCAGUGAAGGACGAGGUUGCAUGCCAUCGAGCUAUGGCAAUCAUUGUGACCCUUGAUUUGUCGUGGACCAUCGUGGCUAAAGAAGGUGUAGCGGUAGUCCACCCUAUACAUUGUCCUAAAUGGUGGGAAUCGGACCAACCAUCGAAAAUUGGAUUGCGGACCAAAGUAGGAAGACAGCAACAGACGACGGCUACUUCGGAAGACGCGUUUGUACCAAGGGUGGUGUGAACGAUUCACCGCCAGAGCU